UUCAUCUGGGUUGUAUCUAUCAUUACAGGAAACAACUCCACGUUUCCAAGUUUGGGGGAAGCACAUGGAGAUGGCCUUCUUUGAAUCAUAGGAAUCUGGAUAUGGUACAAUGAAUAGUCUUCUCCAAGGCAAUGAUGUCCAAUAAUAUUUUCUACAAUGAUGGUCUCUAACAUGAUCAAGGAAGACUUGGGUUGAAGUUGCAUUGUUACUGGAGACUCUGUUAUUAGAGUUUGAAAAAUCAUCAAAAUGAGACCAACCUCAUCUGAAGAUUGCUGUGCCAUCCAUGCCUUUGAAUUUACCAGAUUAAAGGAUUACUUUUUAAUAUUCUUUUAAGAUUGAAAAUAAAAAGCUUCAUUUUUAUUACA
rnacentral:lncRNA from 1 species